rnacentral:tRNA from 1 species
GGCCCUGUGGCGGAACUGGCAGACGCAGCGGACUUAAAAUCCGCUGGCCCGUAAGGGCCGUGCGGGUUCGAAUCCCGCUGGGGCCA